AACGAACGCUGGCGGCAGGCUUAACACACGCAAGUCGAACGCCCCGCAAGGGGAGUGGCAGACGGGUGAGUAACGCGUGGGAACAUACCCUUUCCUGCGGAAUAGCUCCGGGAAACUGGAAUUAAUACCGCAUACGCCCUACGGGGGAAAGAUUUAUCGGGGAAGGAUUGGCCCGCGUUGGAUUAGCUAGUUGGUGGGGUAAAGGCCUACCAAGGCGACGAUCCAUAGCUGGUCUGAGAGGAUGAUCAGCCACAUUGGGACUGAGACACGGCCCAAACUCCUACGGGAGGCAGCAGUGGGGAAUAUUGGACAAUGGGCGCAAGCCUGAUCCAGCCAUGCCGCGUGAGUGAUGAAGGCCUUAGGGUUGUAAAGCUCUUUCACCAGAGAAGAUAAUGACGGUAUCCGGAGAAGAAGCCCCGGCUAACUUCGUGCCAGCCGCCGCAGUAAGAC
rnacentral:rRNA from 1 species